rnacentral:rRNA from 1 species
UAUAACGGGUAACGGGGAAUCAGGGUUCGAUUCCGGAGAGGGAGCCUGAGAAACGGCUACCACAUCUAAGGAAGGCAGCAGGCACGCAAAUUACCCACUCCCGGCACGGGGAGGUAGUGACGAAAAAUAACGAUGCGAGACUCAUCCGAGGCCUCGCAAUCGGAAUGAGUACACUUUAAAUCCUUUAACGAGGACCUAUUGGAGGGCAAGUCUGGUGCCAGCAGCCGCGGUAAUUCCAGCUCCAAUAGCGUAUAUUAAAAUUGUUGCGGUUAAAAAGCUCGUAGUUGGAUUUCAGUUCUGGACUGACGGUUCACCGCCCGGUGCACACUGUCACGCUCCGAACAGCCACAACAGCCCGCUGGCUCGCACGGGGUGCUCUUCAUCGAGUGUCCCGCGUGGCCGGCAGAGUUUACUUUGAAAAAAUUAGAGUGCUCAAAGCAGGCUACACUGACGGCCUGAAUGCCUAUGCAUGGAAUAAUGGAAUAGGACCUCGGUUCUAUUUUGUCGGUUUUCUGAACCCGAGGUAAUGACUAAUAGGAACAGGCGGGGGCAUUCGUAUUGCGACGCUAGAGGUGAAAUUCUUGGACCGUCGCAAGACGAACUACUGCGAAAGCAUUUGCCAAGGAUGUUUUCAUUAAUCAAGAACGAAAGUUAGAGGUUCGAAGGCGAUCAGAUACCGCCCUAGUUCUAACCAUAAACGAUGCUGACCAGCGAUCCGCCGGUGUUAUUCCCAUGACCCGGCGGGCAGCUUCCGGGAAACCAAAGUCUUUGGGUUCCGGGGGAAGUAUGGUUGCAAAGCUGAAACUUAAAGGAAUUGACGGAAGGGCACCACCAGGAGUGGAGCCUGCGGCUUAAUUUGACUCAACACGGGGAACCUCACCAGGCCCAGACACCGGAAGGAUUGACAGAUUGAGAGCUCUUUCUCGAUUCGGUGGGUGGUGGUGCAUGGCCGUUCUUAGUUGGUGGAGCGAUUUGUCUGGUUAAUUCCGAUAACGAACGAGACUCUGGCCUACUAACUAGUCGACGGAUCUCCAGCAAUUGGUGUCCAGUUCGCAGCUUCUUCUUAGAGGGAUAAGCGGCAAUUCUAGCCGCACGAGAUUGAGCAAUAACAGGUCUGUGAUGCCCUUAGAUGUUCUGGGCCGCACGCGCGCUACACUGAAGGGAUCAACGUGUCCUCCCCCUCCGAGAGGAGCGGGUAACCCGUUGAAAUCCUUUCAUGAUAGGGAUUGGGGUUUGCAAUUGUCUCCCAUGAACGAGGA